rnacentral:misc_RNA from 1 species
AAGUCGUAACAAGGUAUCCGUAGGUGAACCUGCAGAUGGAUCAUUAUAGGAUAUCGGAUGAUUGUGAAUGGUCCUAAUAAGUAUUGGGGUGUUGCACGUUAAACUCUAUAAUCUAAUACUCAAUGCACACAUAAUAAGGAACUACUUUUAGCAACGCAUCUUGGUUCUC